AAAAGUCUAGAGCCACCGUCCAGGGAGCAGGUAGCUGCUGGGCUCCGGGGACACUUUGCGUUCGGGCUGGGAGCGUGCUUUCCACGACGGUGACACGCUUCCCUGGAUUGGCAGCCAGACUGCCUUCCGGGUCACUGCCAUGGAGGAGCCGCAGUCAGAUCCUAGCGUCGAGCCCCCUCUGAGUCAGGAAACAUUUUCAGACCUAUGGAAACUGUGAGUGGAUCCAUUGGAAAGGCAGGCCCACCACCCCCCCACCCCAACCCCAGCCCCCUAGUAGAGACCUGUGGGAAGCGAAAAUUCCAUGGGACUGACUUUCUGCUCUUGUCUUUCAGACUUCCUGAAAACAACGUUCUGUCCCCCUUGCCAUCCCAAGCAAUGGAUGAUUUGAUGCUGUCCCCGGACGAUAUUGAACAAUGGUUCACUGAAGACCCAGGUCCAGAUGAAGCUCCCAGAAUGCCAGAGGCUGCUCCCCCCGUGGCCCCUGCACCAGCAGCUCCUACACCGGCGGCCCCUGCACCAGCCCCCUCCUGGCCCCUGUCAUCUUCUGUCCCUUCCCAGAAAACCUACCAGGGCAGCUACGGUUUCCGUCUGGGCUUCUUGCAUUCUGGGACAGCCAAGUCUGUGACUUGCACGUACUCCCCUGCCCUCAACAAGAUGUUUUGCCAACUGGCCAAGACCUGCCCUGUGCAGCUGUGGGUUGAUUCCACACCCCCACCUGGCACCCGCGUCCGCGCCAUGGCCAUCUACAAGCAGUCACAGCACAUGACGGAGGUUGUGAGGCGCUGCCCCCACCAUGAGCGCUGCUCAGAUAGCGAUGGUCUGGCCCCUCCUCAGCAUCUUAUCCGAGUGGAAGGAAAUUUGCGUGUGGAGUAUUUGGAUGACAGAAACACUUUUCGACAUAGUGUGGUGGUGCCCUAUGAGCCGCCUGAGGUCUGGUUUGCAACUGGGGUCUCUGGGAGGAGGGGUUAAAGGCGGUUGUCAGUGGCCCUCCAGGUGAGCAGUAGGGGGGCUUUCUCCUGCUGCUUAUUUGACCUCCCUAUAACCCCAUGAGAUGUGCGAAGUAAAUGGGUUUAACUAUUGCACAGUUGAAAAAACUGAAGCUUAUAGAGGCUAAGGGCCUCCCCUGCUUGGCUGGGCGCGGUGGCUCAUGCCUGUAAUCCCAGCACUUUGGGAGGCCAAGGCAGGCGGAUCACGAGGUUGGGAGAUCGAGACCAUCCUGGCUAACGGUGAAACCCCGUCUCUACUGAAAAAUACAAAAAAAA
rnacentral:sRNA from 1 species